rnacentral:rRNA from 1 species
AUGCCGCGCAUUCCCAUGAUCAGAUUCCCCAAGAGGCAUCUCAAAGUCCCAUCCCCACCAGCGGCGCAGCCUGCAGAUCAGCACGCGACCCUCAUGUCCCGAUUGGGAGCUAAAGUAGAGGCACCAUCUUCUGGAGAGAAAAAGAAUUACCGGUUCAGAUCAGAUGUGCCUUCCGCACCUUCUCAUAAUGCUGUUGGAGGGCCAGCUUCACAGCUUCCCAAGCGCAAACCACUCUCUGAGGAAGAGAUUGAAGCUAUCAUGAAUGAUUGUGUAGUGUACUACAGUACUAGUGUGGACACAUGUGGUUGUUGGUUCAAGCCUAAAGAUAGUGGCAAAUGCUUGUCAAUUACCCAUGCAUAA